rnacentral:rRNA from 1 species
GGGUCAGUAGGUUGGUCGUGCCACCGGUACGUACUGGUCUCACUGACUCCUCCUUCCUGAAGAACCGUAAUGCCAUUAAUUUGGUGCUGCGGGGAAACAGGACUGUUACUUUGAAAAAAUUAGAGUGUUUAAAGCAAGCUAACGCUUGAAUACAUUAGCAUGGAAUAAUGAAAUAGGACGAUCGAUCCUAUUUUGUUGGUUUCUAGGAUUGACGUA